rnacentral:rRNA from 1 species
GUCGCACCUACCGAUUGGAUGAUCCGGUGAAGCCUCGGGAUCGCAGCCGGUUUGCUUCGUUGUGAAUGGACUGCGAGAACUUGUCUAAACCUUAUCAUUUAGAGGAAGGUG